rnacentral:rRNA from 1 species
UCAAUAAGCGGAGGAAAAGAAACCAACAGGGAUUGCCCCAGUAACGGCGAGUGAAGCGGCAAGAGCUCAAAUUUGAAAUCUGGCUCCCUUUGGGGGUCCGAGUUGUAAUUUGCAGAGGAUGCUUUGGGUGCGGCCGCGGCGCAAGUCCCUUGGAACAGGGCGUCGCAGAGGGUGAGAACCCCGUCUUGAGUCGCUGGUCCGCGCCCGUGCAAAGCUCCUUCGACGAGUCGAGUUGUUUGGGAAUGCAGCUCUAAAUGGGUGGUAAAUUUCAUCUAAAGCUAAAUAUUGGCCGGAGACCGAUAGCGCACAAGUAGAGUGAUCGAAAGGUUAAAAGCACCUUGAAAAGGGAGUUAAACAGCACGUGAAAUUGUUGAAAGGGAAGCGCUGGCGACCAGACUCGGGCGCGGGGGUUCAGCGGGCGGGAAUCGCCCGUGCACUCCCCCGCGCUCCGGGCCAGCAUCGGUCUUGGCGGCCGGUCAAAGGCCCCCGGAAUGUGUCGUCCUCCGGGACGUCUUAUAGCCGGGGGUGCAAUGCGGCCAGCCGGGACCGAGGAACGCGCCUCGGCACGGAUGCUGGCGUAAUGGUCGUCAGCGACCCGUCUUGAAACACGGACCAAGGAGUCUAACAUCCACGCGAGUGUUCGGGUGUCAAACCCGUGCGCGCAGUGAAAGCGAACGGAGGUGGGAGCCCGCAAGGGUGCACCAUCGACCGAUCCUGAAGUCUUCGGAUGGAUUUGAGUAGGAGCGUGGCUGUUGGGACCCGAAAGAUGGUGAACUAUGCCUGAAUAGGGUGAAGCCAGAGGAAACUCUGGUGGAGGCUCGCAGCGGUUCUGACGUGCAAAUCGAUCGUCAAAUUUGGGUAUAGGGGCGAAAGACUAAUCGAACC